AGAGUUUGAUCCUGGCUCAGGAUGAACGCCGGCGGUGUGCCUAAUACAUGCAAGUCGAGCGCACUGGCCCAACUGAUAUGACGUGCUUGCACUGAAUUGACGUUGGAUUACCAGUGAGCGGCGGACGGGUGAGUAACACGUGGGCAACCUGCCCUGAAGUGGGGGAUAACAUCUGGAAACAGGUGCUAAUACCGCAUAACAACGAAAACCACAUGGUUUUCGUUUCAAAGAUGGUUUCGGCUAUCACUUCAGGAUGGGCCCGCGGUGCAUUAGCUAGUUGGUAAGGUAACGGCUUACCAAGGCAAUGAUGCAUAGCCGAGUUGAGAGACUGAUCGGCCACAAUGGAACUGAGACACGGUCCAUACUCCUACGGGAGGCAGCAGUAGGGAAUCUUCCACAAUGGGCGCAAGCCUGAUGGAGCAACACCGCGUGAGUGAAGAAGGGUUUCGGCUCGUAAAGCUCUGUUGUUGGAGAAGAACGUGCGUGAGAGUAACUGUUCACGCAGUGACGGUAUCCAACCAGAAAGUCACGGCUAACUACGUGCCAGCAGCCGCGGUAAUACGUAGGUGGCAAGCGUUAUCCGG
rnacentral:rRNA from 1 species